GUGUGUUUGUGGCUUGCUCAUAGCUACAGAGAUUGUUCCGUGUUUUCUAGUGUCUCAAAGUCUUCUAAGUGGCUCUGACAUAUACCUCAGUAUAAUCAAAUCUACAACAUAUGUGCUAGUUCUGCUCACAGUCAUCCUAGAACAAAAAUGUUCCGUGUUGCAGUCACCUUUGUUAUUUUUGUUCUUCUUACUUCUCUUGUUGACACACGUGGUUCCAUUUUACUCCAGGAUCAUAUUACAGGAAUAUGAGACGAGGGUUGUGUCUUUUGUCAUAUUUUAC